ACUGUCUUAAAAUACAAACAAAAAAAUAGUUUUAUUGGCUCUAGCCAAGCUCAUUCAUUUACAUUAUCAUCUAUAGAUGCAUUUUUACUACAACAGCAGAGUUGAACAGUUGAAACAAGGACUGCAUGGCCUGUGUAAAGCCUAAAAUAUUUGCUAUCUGACCCUUUACAGAAAGUUUGCCAACCCCUGCUCCAGACAAGCACUAUCCAACAGAACUUUUUGCAGCGAUGGAAAUGUUCUAUAUCUGUGCUGUCCAAUGCAGAAGUCGCUAGCCACAUGUAGCUAUUUGAGCACUUGAAAUAUGGUCAACAGUGACU
rnacentral:lncRNA from 1 species